rnacentral:misc_RNA from 1 species
GGACAGUCCUAGUUCCUCCCCUACUUGAGCUGUUGAACCGUCAGAGUUCUUCAAGGGCAGGGGAAUAUCCAAUGUAACAGUUUUUCCAGCCUCAUCAAGAUCAAAUCUGCUGAGGGGAAGCACAAGGACAGCAGACUGCUUGAGUAAUGAGUUUAUACAAUGUAAAAGUAUACUUCCUUUUACCAAAUUCCCUUCAGGCUUCCCCCCCAAACCUCCAACGGAAGAUCCAUCCCAUGACCAUAGAAGUG